rnacentral:rRNA from 1 species
GACGAACGCUGGCGGCGUGCUUAACACAUGCAAGUCGAACGGAAAGGCCCUGCUUUUGUGGGGUGCUCGAGUGGCGAACGGGUGAGUAACACGUGAGUAACCUGCCCUUGACUUUGGGAUAACUUCAGGAAACUGGGGCUAAUACCGGAUAUGAUCUCCUGCUGCAUGGUGGGGGUUGGAAAGUUUCGGCGGUGGGGGCUGGACUCGCUGCUUAUCCGCUUGUUGGUGGGGUAGUGGCUUUCCAAGGCUUUGACGGGUAGCCGGCCUGGGAGGGUGACCGGCCACAUUGGGACUGAGAUACGGCCCAGACUCCUACGGGCGGCAGCAGUGGGGAAUAGUGCACAAUGGGCGGAAGCCUGAUGCAGCAACGCCGCGUGCGGGAUGACGGCCUUCGGGUUGUAAACCGCUUUCGCCUGUGACGAAGCGUGAGUGACGGUAAUGGGUAAAGAAGCACCGGCUAACUACGUG